ACGGGAGGCAGCAGUGGGGAAUAUUGCACAAUGGGGGAAACCCUGAUGCAGCGACGCCGUGUGAACGAUGAAGUAUUUCGGUAUGUAAAGUUCUAUCAGCAGGGAAGAUAAUGACGGUACCUGACUAAGAAGCACCGGCUAAAUACGUGCCAGCAGCCGCGGUAAUACGUAUGGUGCAAGCGUUAUCCGGAUUUACUGGGUGUAAAGGGCGCGUAGGCGGGAAGGCAAGUCAGGUGUGAAAUCUAUGGGCUUAACCCAUAAACUGCACUUGAAACUGUCUUUCUUGAGUGCUGGAGAGGUAGACGGAAUUCCUUGUGUAGCGGUGAAAUGCGUAGAUAUAAGGAAGAACACCAGUGGCGAAGGCGGUCUACUGGACAGUAACUGACGCUGAGGCGCGAAAGCGUGGGGAGCAAACAGGAUUAGAUACCCUGGUA
rnacentral:rRNA from 1 species